rnacentral:rRNA from 1 species
AGUGAACGCUGGCGGUAGGCCUAACACAUGCGAGUCGAACGGCAGCACAGUAAGAGCUUGCUCUUACGGGUGGCGAGUGGCGGACGGGUGAGGAAUACAUCGGAAUCUACUUUUUCGUGGGGGAUAACGUAGGGAAACUUACGCUAAUACCGCAUACGACCUACGGGUGAAAGCAGGGGAUCUUCGGACCUUGCGCGAUUGAAUGAGCCGAUGUCGGAUUAGCUAGUUGGCGGGGUAAAGGCCCACCAAGGCGACGAUCCGUAGCUGGUCUGAGAGGAUGAUCAGCCACACUGGAACUGAGACACGGUCCAGACUCCUACGGGAGGCAGCAGUGGGGAAUAUUGGACAAUGGGCGCAAGCCUGAUCCAGCCAUACCGCGUGGGUGAAGAAGGCCUUCGGGUUGUAAAGCCCUUUUGUUGGGAAAGAAAAGCGGCAGGUUAAUACCCCGCUGUUCUGACGGUACCCAAAGAAUAAGCACCGGCUAACUUCGUG